rnacentral:rRNA from 1 species
UACGAAGGGGGCUAGCGUUGCUCGGAAUCACUGGGCGUAAAGGGUGCGUAGGUGGGUUGGUAAGUCAGUGGUGAAAUCCCCGAGCUUAACUUGGGAACUGCCAUUGAUACUAUCAGUCUUGAAUACCGUGGAGGUCAGCGGAAUAUGUCAUGUAGCGGUGAAAUGCUUAGAUAUGACAUAGAACACCAAUUGCGAAGGCAGCUGGCUACUCGGAUAUUGACACUGAGGCACGAAAGCGUGGGGAUCAAACAGG